AGAGUUUGAUCCUGGCUCAGGACGAACGCUGGCGGCGUGCCUAAUACAUGCAAGUCGAACGCUUCUUUUUCCACCGGAGCUUGCUCCACCGGAAAAAGAAGAGUGGCGAACGGGUGAGUAACACGUGGGUAACCUGCCCAUCAGAAGGGGAUAACACUUGGAAACAGGUGCUAAUACCGUAUAACAAUCAAAACCGCAUGGUUUUGAUUUGAAAGGCGCUUUCGGGUGUCGCUGAUGGAUGGACCCGCGGUGCAUUAGCUAGUUGGUGAGGUAACGGCUCACCAAGGCCACGAUGCAUAGCCGACCUGAGAGGGUGAUCGGCCACAUUGGGACUGAGACACGGCCCAAACUCCUACGGGAGGCAGCAGUAGGGAAUCUUCGGCAAUGGACGAAAGUCUGACCGAGCAACGCCGCGUGAGUGAAGAAGGUUUUCGGAUCGUAAAACUCUGUUGUUAGAGAAGAACAAGGAUGAGAGUAACUGUUCAUCCCUUGACGGUAUCUAACCAGAAAGCCACGGCUAACUACGUGCCAGCAGCCGCGGUAAUACGUAGGUGGCAAGCGUUGUCCGGAUUUAUUGGGCGUAAAGCGAGCGCAGGCGGUUUCUUAAGUCUGAUGUGAAAGCCCCCGGCUCAACCGGGGAGGGUCAUUGGAAACUGGGAGACUUGAGUGCAGAAGAGGAGAGUGGAAUUCCAUGUGUAGCGGUGAAAUGCGUAGAUAUAUGGAGGAACACCAGUGGCGAAGGCGGCUCUCUGGUCUGUAACUGACGCUGAGGCUCGAAAGCGUGGGGAGCAAACAGGAUUAGAUACCCUGGUAGUCCACGCCGUAAACGAUGAGUGCUAAGUGUUGGAGGGUUUCCGCCCUUCAGUGCUGCAGCUAACGCAUUAAGCACUCCGCCUGGGGAGUACGACCGCAAGGUUGAAACUCAAAGGAAUUGACGGGGGCCCGCACAAGCGGUGGAGCAUGUGGUUUAAUUCGAAGCAACG
rnacentral:rRNA from 1 species